rnacentral:rRNA from 1 species
AUUGAACGCUGGCGGCAUGCCUUACACAUGCAAGUCGAACGGCAGCACGGGAGCAAUCCUGGUGGCGAGUGGCGAACGGGUGAGUAAUAUAUCGGAACGUGCCCAGUCGUGGGGGAUAACGUAGCGAAAGCUACGCUAAUACCGCAUACGAUCUAUGGAUGAAAGCGGGGGAUCGCAAGACCUCGCGCGAUUGGAGCGGCCGAUAUCAGAUUAGGUAGUUGGUGAGGUAAAGGCUCACCAAGCCGACGAUCUGUAGCUGGUCUGAGAGGACGACCAGCCACACUGGGACUGAGACACGGCCCAGACUCCUACGGGAGGCAGCAGUGGGGAAUAUUGGACAAUGGGCGCAAGCCUGAUCCAGCCAUGCCGCGUGCAGGAUGACGGUCCUAUGGAUUGUAAACUGCUUUUGUACAGGAAGAAACACUACUUCGUGAAGUAGCUUGACGGUACUGUAAGAAUAAGGAUCGG